CUCCGGUUGAUCCUGCCGGACCCGACUGCUAUCAGAGUGGGACUAAGCCAUGCGAGUCAACAUAGCAAUAUGUGGCAUACGGCUCAGUAACACGUAGUCAACAUGCCCAGGGGACGUGGAUAACCUCGGGAAACUGAGGAUAAACCGCGAUAGGUCAUCACUUCUGGAAUGGGUAAUGACUUAAAUCUAUAUGGCCCCUGGAUUGGACUGCGGCCGAUCAGGCUGUUGGUGAGGUAAUGGCCCACCAAACCUGUAACCGGUACGGGCUCUGAGAGGAGGAGCCCGGAGAUGGGCACUGAGACAAGGGCCCAGGCCCUAUGGGGCGCAGCAGGCGCGAAACCUCUGCAAUAGGCGAAAGCUUGACAGGGUUACUCUGAGUGAUUUCCGUUAAGGAGAUCUUUUGGCACCUCUAAAAAUGGUGCAGAAUAAGGGGUGGGCAAGUCUGGUGUCAGCCGCCGCGGUAAUACCAGCACCCCGAGUGGUCGGGACGUUUAUUGGGCCUAAAGCAUCCGUAGCCGGUUCUACAAGUCUUCCGUUAAAUCCACCUGCUUAACAGAUGGGCUGCGGAAGAUACUAUAGAGCUAGGAGGCGGGAGAGGCAAGCGGUACUCGAUGGGUAGGGGUAAAAUCCGUUGAUCCAUUGAAGACCACCAGUGGCGAAGGCGGCUUGCCAGAACGCGCUCGACGGUGAGGGAUGAAAGCUGGGGGAGCAAACCGGAUUAGAUACCCGGGUAGUCCCAGCUGUAAACGAUGCAGACUCGGUGAUGAGUUGGCUUAUUGCUAACUCAGUGCCGCAGGGAAGCCGUUAAGUUUGCCACCUGGGGAGUACGGUCGCAAGACUGAAACUUAAAGGAAUUGGCGGGGGAGCA
rnacentral:rRNA from 1 species